rnacentral:tmRNA from 1 species
AAAGUUUCGUUUCGUGGUGUGAUUCGCUAUAAUGAUUCUGUUGGGGAUACCCAACUAUGACGAUAAAUAUUGGCUAGAAUAGGUGACUUGGACCCGGGGGCAGUACCCGGCGCCUCCACCAUCAGAGGAAUCGCCUUUGGCGAUCGCUAUGGGGGCGACACAGCUUCGACAAGCACAAUAAAGGGUCCGUGUUCGUUCGUAAUUGUCCCGUCGUUAUCGGGCAAAAAAGUAUAGAUGCCAAAAAUAUUAGCAUCUCGAGUGUAGCAAAUUCCUCUCGUAAGAGACGGAAAGUUGCAAACGGUAAUGGCGGCAGGUCCGACCUUAUGGCUGCUUAAUUAGCCUAACGGCUGAUUGAUCGGCAAUAGUACUCGCGGUUUGAGAGCGACCGGGCAACAGAACGCUCUCACU